GCUAUAUUUAUGAAGCAAUGGAUAGAGCCAAAGAAACUAUUGAACAGGGUUUUCGUGGAGUUAAGAAGCAAUAUGAGUAAGUGUUUGAAAUUAUUGAUGCAAGGUGGUCAGACCAACUCCAUCGGCCUUUGCAUGCUGCAGGCCAUGUUUUGAACCCAAGAUUGUAUUAUAAAGCUCAAGAAGAGGGAACUUUACUAAAGACUCUGUGGAAUGAGUAUUAUUCAUGUGUUGAGAAGAUGAUCCCCGAUACAACAAUACAAGAUUUACUAGUCGCUGAGCUUCCUAGGUACAAAAUGGCGAAUGGACUAUUUGGUUGUGGUCCGGCUAAAAGAGCUAGAGACACAAGGUCACCGGUGGAAUGGUGGUCACUAUUUGGUAGUGAAACACCAAACUUGCAAAAGUUUGCCAUGAAAGUAUUAAGCCUAACUUGUAGCUCAUCCGGAUGUGAGCGAAAUUGGAGUGUGUUUGAACACGUAAGUAAAAAAAUUAUAUCCUAAUUUCCAUAUUAUA